rnacentral:rRNA from 1 species
GACGAACGCUGGCGGCGUGCCUAAUACAUGCAAGUCCAACGCUUCUUUCCUCCCGAGUGCUUGCACUCAAUUGGAAAGAGGAGUGGCGGACGGGUGAGUAACACGUGGGUAACCUACCCAUCAGAGGGGGAUAACACUUGGAAACAGGUGCUAAUACCGCAUAACAGUUUAUGCCGCAUGGCAUAAGAGUGAAAGGCGCUUUCGGGUGUCGCUGAUGGAUGGACCCGCGGUGCAUUAGCUAGUUGGUGAGGUAACGGCUCACCAAGGCCACGAUGCAUAGCCGACCUGAGAGGGUGAUCGGCCACACUGGUACUGAGACACGGCCCAGACUCCUACGGGAGGCAGCAGUAGGGAAUCUUCGGCAAUGGACGAAAGUCUGACCGAGCAACGCCGCGUGAGUGAAGAAGGUUUUCGGAUCGUAAAACUCUGUUGUUAGAGAAGAACAAGGACGUUAGUAACUGAACGUCCCCUGACGGUAUCUAACCAGAAAGCCACGGCUAACUACGUG